rnacentral:rRNA from 1 species
UCUGGAAACGGGGACUAAUACCGGAUAGGUAAUCGGAAGGCAUCUUCUGGUUAUUAAAGGUUAAAAACACUGGUGGAUGGGCUUAUGGCGCAUUAGUUAGUUGGUGAGGUAACGGCCCACCAAGACGAUGAUGCGUAGCCGGCCUGAGAGGGUGAACGGCCACAUUGGGACUGAGACACGGCCCAGACUCCUACGGGAGGCAGCAGUAGGGAAUUUUCGGCAAUGGGGGCAACCCUGACCGAGCAACGCCGCGUGAGUGAAGACGGCCUUCGGGUUGUAAAGCUCUGUUGUAAGGGAAGAACGGUAGAUAGAGAAUAUCUAAGGAC